AUGCAAGUCGAACGCGAAAGGGACUUCGGUCCGUGAGUAAAGUAGGCGCACGGGUGAGUAACGCGUGGAUAAUCUGCCCUUAUGAUCGGGAUAACAGUUGGAAACGGCUGCUAAUACCGGAUACGCUCAAAAUGAACUUUUUGAGGAAAGAUGGCCUCUGCUUGCAUGCUAUCACGUAAGGAUGAGUCCGCGUCCCAUUAGCUUGUUGGCGGGGUAACGGCCCACCAAGGCAACGAUGGGUAGCCGAUUUGAGAGGAUGAUCGGCCACACUGGAACUGAAACACGGUCCAGACUCCUACGGGAGGCAGCAGGUGGGAAUAUUGCGCAAUGGGCGAAAGCCUGACGCAGCGACGCCGCGUGAGGGAUAGAAGGUUUUCGGAUCGUAAACCUCUGUCAGAAGGGAAGAAACUACGUUGUGCUAAUCAGCAGCGUACUGACGGUACCUUCAAGGAAGCACCGGCUAACUCCGUGCCAGCAGCCGC
rnacentral:rRNA from 1 species